rnacentral:lncRNA from 1 species
GCGGUGAGCGGAUCGGGGCCGAGUCGAUUGGAUUCGGGACGGCGAGUUUGCAAUCGACGCGCGCUCCGUCGGACAUCACCACACGCUCGAAGAAGAGACUGCUGAAUGAUUUCGUUCGCGCUUCGCUCCUCGACACGAGUCUGCGAGAGGCGGCGAUAAACGGAUCACCCUAAACCCUAGUUCCCUUGUGCGUGUGGUGGGAGCGGCGCCGCGGCUUCUGCGCGUCGGCGCCGAUUAAAUUUCGUUCUGAAACUGCAGGACAGGUCUGCAGGACAGGAAAAAACAGAACAGAAGCUGCGCCCGAAAUCUCGAUCGCGUUCUGUCCGUCGCGCACCGCGCCGCCCGUCGCGUCGUCGUCGUCGUCGUCGUCGUCCGCGGGUUCUUUUGCGUCGCGCGCGCGUCCUCGCGACGAACGAGGUGGCGCCUCCGAGGCGGGGAAGGAGCGCGCGCGAUGGCGCGACUGCGGGAGGUUUAGGGUUUAGGGUUUAGGGUUUAGGGUUUAGGGUUUAGGGUUUAGGGUUUAGGGUUUAGGGUUUAGGGUUUAGGGUUUAGGGUUUAGGGUUUAGGGUUUAGGG